rnacentral:rRNA from 1 species
UACGGAGGGUGCGAGCGUUGUCCGGAAUCACUGGGCGUAAAGGACGCGUAGGCGGCUCAUGAAGGCUGUGGUGAAAGUCCGGGGCUCAACCUCGGAUCGGCCGUGGCGACUCGUGGGCUGGAGCACUGUAGAGGCGGGUGGAAUUCCGGGUGUAGCGGUGGAAUGCGUAGAGAUCCGGAAGAACACCAGUGGCGAAGGCGGCCCGCUGGGCAGUGGCUGACGCUGAAGCGCGACAGCGUGGGGAGCAAACAGG